UACGUAGGGGGCAAGCGUUGUCCGGAAUCAUUGGGCGUAAAGAGCGCGUAGGCGGUUCAGCAAGUCUGCUGUGAAAGUCCAGGGCUCAACCCUGGGAUGCCGGUGGAUACUGCUGGGCUAGAGUACGGAAGAGGCGAGUGGAAUUCCCGGUGUAGCGGUGAAAUGCGCAGAUAUCGGGAGGAACACCUAUUGCGAAGGCAGCUCGCUGGGACGUUACUGACGCUGAGACGCGAAAGCGUGGGGAGCAAACAGG
rnacentral:rRNA from 1 species